CUUCUCACUCCAGAUGAAUUUUAGGAGUGAUUUCUCUAGAUGUAUGAGAGCUCGGGCAGAAGAAGCACAUUUUCCUCACCACCAUUCAGUGCAGUUCAUCAGUGAAUCCAUCCGGCCAUGAAGGCUUUUUUUAGCAGCAAAAAUGGCCAUGCCGAGCACUGUUCUCCCUGGGGCUCUUAGACCUGCACCUGGAUACUCCAGAUCUCAGCUAAUUGGCCUACCUUUGAUACAUUGUAACAGUUAGUUUGUACCAUGUUUAACUCCCCUUGCAUACUUUACCGUCCCAACUCAUUUGGGUUAUGGCUCAUAUUGAUAAUAAUCAAAUAUUUGAAAGUUAAAAACUUACUGGGUGUUUUCCAGUUCAGGCCAUUAUGAUCAUGGGAUGUAGUAGUGUAUGAUUUCCUUUCUUUGUGUUCUUUUUCUCGCUGUUUCCUGCAUGGUUUAUCUCCACAGUCGUCCAAGGGCUCUGCGAAGUGGUAGGUAGAGAGGAGCACAGACACAGGGCCGGCUUCCUCUCCAACGGUGUAGGAAAGCACUUCUCCCCCUGGGGCAGAGACCUGUGCUCCCCUAUGUGGUGCAUGAUUUUCAACACCUCUGAAAUUUAUCAGGAACUGUUUUAUGACCCAAAGUAAGACUGUUAAAAUACCCUGUAUGCCAAGUGUUGAAGACAGUGAUUAUUAAAUUACUUCAAGUGACUUGCUGAUUUUUCUGCAUAAUGUAUUUGAUUUAUCGGUUACAGAAAGAUGUUGAAUGUUCUUCUCAGCAUCUUCCAGAAGUAGUGAAGACCCUCUGGUUACAGUGGUCCUUCCCCACCUGUGCUUACAGCAGUGUAAUUCAUGAUAGGAAACCUUGGAAGCAGUCUAUGCAUCCAUCAGCAAAAGAAUGGAGAAAGAAAGUGGGAUGUGCCUACAUAAUGCAGUACUAACCUUCCAUAAAGAAAGGUACACUUAAGCCAUUUGCAGGCAAACAGAUGCACCUGGGGAUGCCAAGGUUAACUGAAAUAAAUCGGAUGCACACCAUAAACAUCACACGGCUUCUCUUAUAUGAGAAACACAAAAUAUAAAUAAAAACCAAAAGGAAAGAGAGAUCAUGGGAAGUAGAGAGACAGACUUUCUGCAAGAAAGAGGCAGGAGAUCAACAGAU